UACGAAGGGGGCUAGCGUUAUCCGGAUUCACUGGGUUUAAAGGGUGCGUAGGCGGGCAGGUAAGUCAGUGGUGAAAUCUUUGGGCUUAACCCGAAAACUGCCAUUGAUACUAUCUGUCUUGAAUAUUGUGGAGGUUUGCGGAAUAUGUCAUGUAGCGGUGAAAUGCUUAGAUAUGACAUAGAACACCUAUUGCGAAGGCAGCAAACUACGCAUAUAUUGACGCUGAGGCACGAAAGCGUGGGGAUCAAACAGG
rnacentral:rRNA from 1 species